ensembl:lncRNA
CUGAAUUUAGCUCUUGUUGUGUUCUAAUGGGUGGAUUGUGUGCAUUCGCGGUAACAUUUUAUUUUAAAAAGCUCUUAAAACUAUAAAAAUGCUUUUAUUGUGAGCUCCUGGUGAGACUGCAGGCGCUGAUGCAGCGGUGAUUUCUCUCUGGUCUUUCUCACUGUUCUGGCCAGACAUAAAUUAUUAAUGAGACCUGAGCCGGUAAUAAUAACAUAUGUUGGUUCAGCUUGUCAGUGUGAAUGAAACGUGUAUUUAUUUGUCCGUUCUCGCCGAAAAACCAUCACCGUGUUCUGGAGCGCAGAGCAAUCGAUGUGAUGUUCAGCCCUUAGACAAAGAAAAUCUCACAAGCACUCAUAAACACUCAUUUUCAUCUCUAUAAUAUGUUCUUCUAAUUGUUUUGUGUUAAUUCGCCGCUGUGUUUUAAUGUAAAAGGCUGUAGUUUCUGUAUGUAGGCUUUUUUCCCUUCAAGUGUUCAGAAGUCUCGCGCUGUCAGACAGGCUGCAGCAAAUAUUUAAUUUUAACACUCACAAACAUCUGAAUUUAGCUCUUGGUGUGUUCUAAUUGGCGGAUUGUGUGCAAUCGCCGUAAUAUUUUAUUUUUAAAAGGUCUUAAACAAGAAUAAACUCGUUUGUUGUGAGCUCGUUGAGACUGCACGCGCUGAUCAGAGCGGUGAUUUAUCUCUCGUCUAUCUCUCUGUUCUCUGGCCAUACAUCGAUUAUUAAUAAGCCCUGACCCUGUAAUAAUAAGAUAUGUUGGUUUAGCUUGUCAGUUUUAAUUAAAU